rnacentral:tRNA from 1 species
ACUCGAUUAUUUUAAUGGCAGAAUACUUCUUUUACACGGAAGAGGUGAUGGUUCGAUUCCAUCAUUGAGUACCA